CGUACAGGUCUCCGUAGGUGAACCUGCGGAGGGAUCAUUACUGAGUUUUUAACUCUCCAAACCAUGUGAACUUACCACUGUUGCCUCGGUGGUCGGUGCUGGAAACAGUGCUGCCACCGGUGGACUACUAAACUCUUGUUAAUUUUUGUCAAAUCUGAAUCAAACUAAGAAAUAAGUUAAAACUUUCAACAACGGAUCUCUUGGUUCUGGCAUCGAUGAAGAACGCAGCGAGAUGCGAUAAGUAAUGUGAAUUGCAGAAUUCAGUGAAUCAUCGAAUCUUUGAACGCACAUUGCGCCCAUUAGUAUUCUAGUGGGCAUGCCUGUUCGAGCGUCAUUUCAACCCUUAAGCCUAGCUUAGUGUUGGGAGACUGCCUAAUACGCAGCUCCUCAAAACCAGUGGCGGAGUCUGUUCGUGCUCUGAGCGUAGUAAUUUUUUAUCUCGCUUCUGCAAGCCGGCCAGACGACAGCCAUAAACCGCACCCUCUCGGGGGGCACUUUUUUAAUGGUUGACCUCGGAUCAGGUANGAAUACCCGCUGAACUUAAGCAUAUCA
rnacentral:rRNA from 1 species